UACGAAGGGGGCUAGCGUUGCUCGGAAUUACUGGGCGUAAAGGGUUCGUAGGCGGUGCGGUAAGUUGGGAGUGAAAUCUCUGGGCCUAACCCAGAGGCUGCUUUCAAAACUGCUGUGCUCGAGUGCGAGAGAGGUCAGUGGAAUUGCAGGUGUAGCGGUGAAAUGCGUAGAUAUCUGCAGGAACACCCGUGGCGAAGGCGGCUGACUGGAUCGCAACUGACGCUGAGGAACGAAAGCUAGGGGAGCAAACAGG
rnacentral:rRNA from 1 species